CAACAUCCUCUUUGCUUCCAGUAAUCCCAUUGUCCUUGCAACUUGCUGAACAGCUCCAGAUGUCCUCUUCGGUGAGUCUUUAGUUGCACUGUGCUGGCUGCCUCCACGUCCUCAGUCAAUUCAAAACGUUUACCCUUUGUAGCCAUAUUAACUUUGGGAAAGAGCCAGAAGUCUCACAGUACCAGAGCAAGGUGGAUGAGGACACACUGUGAUGCUUCUACGAGCCUGCCUUUCCGUCAGAUGGCACGCCGCAGCAGCUUUCACAUUUUUCUCAGCGCGCCCUGUAAAAACGUGAAAGGACUUCAGACUGCCUCAGAAAAUGACAAGAUUGAUUGUAUAAGCUUGUUUCAAGCAAUCUGUACUUGCCUUGUGCUCUGUCUUGUCGGGGCCGACCUGAUAACCUGGGACAUGCCGCUGGACGCUACAGUGAAGGACUGCAUCCCUCACAGAAACCCUUUCUCCCACAAAAAAAGCCCUCCUUAA
rnacentral:lncRNA from 1 species